rnacentral:misc_RNA from 1 species
GGGAAAAUGGGUGGCUGAAAUAAGACUUCCUCAGAAGAGAAUGAGAGUUUGGCUUGGAACUUAUGAUAAUGCUGAGGCUGCAGCUUAUGCUUAUGACAGAGCAGCCUGUAAACUUCGCGGGGAAUAUGCACGAUUGAACUUUCCAAAUCUACGCGAUCCAAGUGAGUUGGGAUUCGGAGAUAGUGCAAAGAUGAAUGCUUUGAAGAAUUCUGUGGAUGCUAAGAUUCAAGCUAUU